UACAGAGGGGGCUAGCGUUAUUCGGAAUUAUUGGGCGUAAAGGGCGCGUAGGCGGCCAUGCGUGUCUUCCGUGAAAUCCCUCGGCUUAACCGAGGACGUGCGGAAGAAACUGCAAGGCUCGAGUCCGGAAGAGGGGGGCGGAAUUCCCAGUGUAGCGGUGAAAUGCGUAGAUAUUGGGAGGAACACCAGUGGCGAAGGCGGUCCCCUGGGCCGGAACUGACGCUGAGGCGCGAAAGCGUGGGUAGCAAACGGG
rnacentral:rRNA from 1 species